AAGUAUGGCUAGUAAGUCGCCAAUUAUCUUCAAGGUUCCCACUGGACUUCCCAUGUUUUUUAAGAUACUUCUGGGUUCAGUUAAGUACGUAGAACCAGGAUUCAUGAUUGACAUUCUUAUGGAGACCAAUAUUAUGGGCGAACAAUAUACCUUAUAUAUCUCACAUGAGGAUAUAGUACACUUUGGACUUAUGGAAGAAAUCGGCGCGUCUUGCAUUUCAUUCUAUAUCAGUAUAAUAUAUUCCGAGUUGUGCGAUAGAGAGAUAUCACACUUUUUUGGUUUCAUUGAGCCAUCGUGGUCAUCGAGAAUUGGGACAAAUAUGGAUAAUCGAGCUAAAAUUAUCUCAGAGCGUAUCAAUAACACAGUAAUGGGUCAAACUUGGUUAAUGCCAUACCAUUUCUUAUGACCAUACAUGUUACUAUCUUGAUCCACUUAGAAAAUCUCCUCCAAAUGAUUUGAAGAACCUUAUGAACAAUGUCUCUUCACACAUUAAGCGAAAGACAGGAAGGAAUGAAAAAAAUUACAAGUGGAAAAUAGUCAAUUGCCCUCGUCAAACAUCGUCAGUAGAGUGCGGCUUUUAUAUCAUAAGGAUGAUGAAGGACUAUUGCUUGAAUGAGACACCAAUGCGAUGGCUAACUAGUAAUUGUGGUGGAAAGAAUACAUAUACACUUGGCGAAAUUAAUGAAACUCGAAAUGAAUGGGUAGCCAAGCUUCUUGAGCGGAUGAGUCAUAGCUAGAGUAACUUUUGAAAUCAGAAUUAAAAAAUAUAUUAAUUGUAGUAUUUAGUUAGUACUUACAUAGUUAUUCCAAGUGUAUAUUUUGAUAUUGUAAUUUUUAGAUUUGGAACAUACUGAGUUCUAUUGAUUUUGUCUGCCUAUUGAUUAUGUCUGAACUAUGUUGUAAUUACACAGGAAAUUAUGAAUGAAUAUAGUGGUUGAAAAUAGAGAAAUGAAAAAAUUCUCAUAUUCUACAUGGGACGUCGGUCUCCA